rnacentral:rRNA from 1 species
UACGGAAGGCAGCAGUGGGGAAUAUUGCACAAUGGGCGCAAGCCUGAUGCAGCCAUGCCGCGUGUAUGAAGAAGGCCUUCGGGUUGUAAAGUACUUUCAGUCGUGAGGAAGGUGUUAAGGUUAAUAACCUUAGCAAUUGACGUUAGCGACAGAAGAAGCACCGGCUAACUCCGUGCCAGCAGCCGCGGUAAUACGGAGGGUGCGAGCGUUAAUCGGAAUUACUGGGCGUAAAGGGCACGCAGGCGGUUAAUUAAGUUGGAUGUGAAAUCCCCGGGCUUAACCUGGGAAUGGCAUUCAAGACUGGUUAGCUAGAGUCUUGUAGAGGGGGUUAGAAUUCCAUGUGUAGCGGUGAAAUGCGUAGAGAUGUGGAGGAAUACCGGUGGCGAAGGCGGCCCCUGGACAAAGGACUGACGCUCAUGUGCGAAAGCGUGGGGAGCAAAAC